rnacentral:misc_RNA from 1 species
CACCACAAGUCUCCUACUUGCUUAUCUUUCUAAUAUGGGUAGUCUUUCUGCAAACACCUUCUCCCCCUUGGACUCCAAUACCUUAAAAAAUGAGUCGAAAAUGGUGGUCGAUUUCAUUUCUGACUAUUACAACAACAUAGAAAAAUACCCAGUUCGAAGCGAGGUUCAGCCUGGAUACCUCUCAGCCAAGUUGCCUCAAUCAGCA